UGGGUUCUAUGCAGUUAAACUUUUUCGAACCCCGUCAGGACCGGAAGGUAGCAGCGGUAGAUAAAAGUUUUCGUGCCGUAGAGUGCCUGGCU
rnacentral:SRP_RNA from 1 species